GACGAACGCUGGCGGCGUGCUUAACACAUGCAAGUCGAGCGGAAAGGCCUUUCGGGGUACUCGAGCGGCGAACGGGUGAGUAACACGUGAGCAACCUGCCUUCAGCUUUGGGAUAACCAUCGGAAACGGUGGCUAAUACCGGAUACGACCUCAGAUCGCAUGUUCUUGGGGUGGAAAGUUUUUCGGCUGGAGAUGGGCUCGCGGCCUAUCAGCUUGUUGGUGGGGUGAUGGCCUACCAAGGCGACGACGGGUAGCCGGCCUGAGAGGGCGACCGGCC
rnacentral:rRNA from 1 species